AAUUAAGUAUACUCAAACAAUCUUUUUACCUUUUUAUAAAGACAUUAAAUUAUAUUUUUGCAGGAAAAACUGUAUUUUUUAGUUACAUAAAGUAUCUUCUUAUUCAAGAUGAGGCGAAGGUACUCUACAACGUAUCCGAGGUAUAAGAGAAUGCGACAUGGUUUAAUAAAUUUAAUGAUUGGCACGAACAUAAAACGCGCGCGAGGAAACACCUCACCAGGGAUACUUUUUAUCGGGUUUUUCUUUUCGCGCUUGAGUCACUUCGUUAAUAAAGAUGCGGAUUAAAGAGACGCGCGAGGCGGGACCCAGGAAAUAUACAUCCCGUCAUGUGCCUUAUCACGUGGACGUACUUUUACCACUAAUCGGCUCGUCGUAGAACGCACGGUUCGCAAAUGCGGGCGAAUAACUAACGAGAGCUCGUGCAAAGAGGGACUUUUACGAACGACCGCCAUUAUUCUACCUCACCUUGAUACAAAGAAAAGAUCUUACGCUGCGUAUUCGCGACGGUGCCCUUUCAACACGCCCUAGGGAGCUUUGAAUUAGAAGUCUCCUUUCCACAAUGCACCGUCGCAGCUCGCCGUUUUGUGCAAAUGAUUUGUGAUUUAUGUUACUAAAAGGAUACGUGUAUACGACGAUCUAAAAACCUUACUCUGAAUCUUUGAAUCGCAAUAUUCAGAUAAUUCGAGUGUCGAAUAAUCUGAAUAAAUCCAUCAAUUUAUGCAAAUCCGAUAUCUAACGUUCUGAGAGCGUUUAAGCAUCACAAUUGAGUAUCUGAAAUUAAUAUUCGAAGAUUCACACAUUUACGUAUUUGUAAACUUUUACGUCUAUCUUCAACUUCGUCCGCUCAACUAACGAUGAUAAGAAUAAGAACAGAUUAAGAAGAGAGCACAAAAGCUCACGUAGUGAGGGCAAAAAUGAGAGAAGGAGGGCUGGGAAAAAGUAUACAGGUAUAUUUAUGAAUACGUCGCGACUGCCCGUGACAGCCAUUGAAUCUUACGGCUUAGCCACUGCAGAACUGUAUAUUUAUAUGAGAGUACAUAUCAUCUACGUGAUAAUUACAAAAUGAAAUUUCUAUAGAAAAUUUGCCUAAGCGUCGCUAUAUCUUUCGAGAUAUCUUUAACUUUGCUUCGUAAUAUUUGCACUGGCAAAUUUACAAGAGACAAGAAAUUAAUUGAGUUAGAAAGAGACGGGGGUUUCUUCUCGACGAGAGAAAUACCCCAGUUUGCGACAGUCACGAGAACACGUAACGCUAAGAAAAUAUCAGUUUAUAGAGAUCCCACCGCGCGUUUCCGUACGUUGCAGCGUGAGUGACAGUCGUUUUGUACGUAUUUAUUACCGACUUCGCAUACACCGCGCGUUCUGUACGGAGAAAUAUACGUUCCUCGGAGCAGGUGCGCGAGAAGGAGAGCCUGGGGAAGGGGAGGGGAGGGAGGAAGGGAUGAAACGCGCGAAACGGUAUUUCGCGGCGACGCGGAAACUUCCCGUCGAUUCCCCCGCGUCGACGAUUUUCCUCGACGGGUUCCCCGACAAGUUGCACCCGCGACACUUCGUAUGUACCGCCACCGCCACCGCCGCCACGGUCAGGACGACGCGAAAUUUCCUCUAUGGAAAUCAACUUUCGUUCGACAGGUGCAACCGGGGCGCGCGCUCGUUUGUGCACGUGUGUCAACGUGGCGCGCCGAGCACUUCCGAUCACACGCCCCGAUAGCUCCAGAGACGUAGUAAAUAUGCUGAUUUAUUGACGAAGGGUAAGGUUUGAAUACACACGGGUGGCGAAGGGGCGCGUGUAUGAUUUCUCCGGGACUCGUUCCGUCGGAUGACUGGUAUAUUCGUUGAUAUAUCUGUCAAUUGUUGUCGCCGAGCUGAAUAUUGAUUUUCCUCCCCGUCUGAAAACGUGGGAGGAUUACCUUCCCCUAAUACGAGUGCGAAAUUAAAGAUUUUCCCAAACCCAUACAAAAGUUUUCAAUUUAGGACACGUUCAAAGAGACAUUGCGAUAAACUUGCAAAUUCUGCAUCGAUCUCCCUCUUCAAAUUUCGUACCGUACGGAUUAUUAAUCACUUGAAUUAUUAAGCGCCCAGGUAAGUAUACAUAUUUUAUCUUCAUUGACAGAAGAGCACUUCGCGCAAAGCGUACAGUACGCGUGAUUAAAUAAAGUUGUUUUUUAAUUACAGUUUACGCGAAAGCCACUCUUCAAAUCCCUGGAGACAGAUUGAUAUUGAUGAUAGUCACGUGCCAGACAAAAUGUAAUUUUCACGUCUUUAACGCGAAUUCUGUCGCAGGAAUAUUAAAGCUGCUAGGAAAAUUAGAAUUCGAAUCCCGUGGAAUCCGAAUCGCGUCAAGGCCGCUCGUCAAUUUCUCACGAGAGAUUGCGAAAUCUGUAAAUCGAGAAACUUUUGACGCGUCAUUAAAUUCUGGUUGACGACUUCGCUUCGACAUACAGUCAGAGAUCCGGCCGGAACUUUGCAACGUUUCUUGAUAAGAUUCUUGCUGACGCUAUAAUGAAAUAAUAAUUUGUGCCGGCGUUUGCUAAUUCAAUUACACGAAAGUCGCAUGGAACUCGUCAAUUCUAGAGUUUUAAGUGCCGUUCGCGCAUCUAAGAAUAAGGAAAUUCGAAGAAAAUCUUCAGCUAAGAUAUUCAAGGCACUAUUGAAAGAUUUCGGACGUCAAACGGUCUCGAGAAAUUCGAACGAAUUUUGAGAAAGAGCUGUAAGUUUUUUUAAAUAUUAAAAAACGUGACCCGAAGUAGUCACAUUUUAAUAUUAGGGGUAUGUAUAUAUUUUUAAAUUCCAAAGUUGAACAAAUGCAAAUGAUAGUGCACUGACCGCACAAUUGAUCUUAAUUUAACGCUCGAGAUUAACGCCGCUUUAUACAUUUCUAUGUAUAUUCCAAUAUUUCAGAAUGUCUGCCUCGCGUGCAACGGAUAUGCACAAUCGAAAAUCCGCUUAGCGGAACGCGUGACGGUAGUUUCGGGCGUUUCGCCGGGGCUGAUCGUAACGUCCUAAUUUGUGUAGCGUACGGUUCUCACCGUCCUCCUAUCGUCACGAGAGAAGGAAACACACGGCCACAUGGUAGCUAUAACAGACCCGGUGUGUUAGUGUAACGUUAUGGUCUGUCCGGGAGAGGUGCCAGCUGGCGCGUCGGGGAAAAGUAAAUAAAUGAACGCGUAAAAUUUAACUAAAUUUCGAAGUUUCCGUCGACUCGGGUGUCGAAACGCCGGAUUUGAAAUGCGCGUUUCGUUGCGCCAGCGAGAGAAUCGUAACUGCAACCUCGCGUAUUACGUAAAUUGCGUAACCCACGGGACUGUCGCGUAAAACAAUGCACAAUACCUAAAGCCAUUAAACACACAACGCGCGACGGAUCAAGGAUUACAGUUAUCAUUUUCCCAUGUCGCAACGUGCACGUUAUAGAAUUACUGUUCGCUCGGCGUGCACACAAAGCAUUAACGAUCCGGACGAGUGGAAGAAGUUCCGCAUUUCGUAUUCGAUUUCCAAUUCGUAUUCGAUUUCCUAGUGGCGUGCCGCUGCGGUUUGUUUCCUUUGCCAAAAGACCUCGCACACCUCGGACGCCUUUGAUACCCCUUUAUGCACCCGCGAGGACAACGCGACGAGUCGGUGGAAAGCCUCACCCUCCUCUCCUCCCCCCCCCCCUUUCCCGACCCAGCGGAAGCUGCGACGAGCUUUUUCCGAUGCCGUUCGUAUAAAGGACCCCAUGUUUACGCGCACCUGGAGUUCAGAAACGACCGCGACGCACAAUGCCCGCAACAAUGGAGAGACUCUACACUAGCAUCUCCUCGGCGCACCCGCGCACCCUCGUCGCGCCAACGAUCCGCCGGGAACGUGGAGUUUUAUGCAAAUGAUACAAACGCACUCGGCCUUAUGAAGGCGAAAUAAACUUGUUCGGGAAAACCAAUGUUGUUUUCUUCAACAGCACAAACGAAAAUCUGUUAUUUUCGAAUUUGCAUAAAUUUUCGCACGAGAGUCCUCUAAAUUGAUACGUUAUUCUAGAAUAGUUUUAUUUUUAGUCUUUUUUAAUAUUAAAACCCCUCAAUUGUUUCAAUCACGCGAUUGGAUAUCACUAUUUUUCGGUUUACGAGAUAUUUUCAGAGAUUUUUUCUGGGAAUAUCUCUAGUUUUUUUUUUUUUUUUUCGGUUAUUAGAUUUCGGGGCAUUCGAUCCGGAUCCUCGCGGUCCAGCUUCUUCGAACGUUUCGGCCGCCGCACGGUGGUCGACCGACAGCAAGGGUGGGGAAUUUUAUUGAAACGAAACGUACGAUGCGAACGCGAACGAAGUAAUAAAAGAAAAAUAUCGUUUGCUCGGCGUGCGCAAUUAAACGCGGAAUUAGUCCGCGGGCGAGCGAGGGGCGAAAAAAAGUAACACCGAGCGCUGGGGAAAGGUAGGUGGAAAUGCUCGUUGGAAACACACGCGCGCACGUAAAGUUCUCGCAUCGUUGCAACGUUCGCGCUAUCCGCGGGGACACUGCAAAUCCGGUUAAGCUCGCUUCUGAUUUCAACGUGUAUCCCGUGUGUUGCACUCCCCUGUGAUCUCUCCCUGCUGUCUUUUUGUCUACCAUACACUUCCUUCCUUUCGUUCUUCUUUCUCGAUCUGCCUUCUCGUUUUCCUCUAUUCAACCCUUGUAAUCCAAUAAAUUUAUACGGGUGAUCUCUUAUAACUCAAAAAGAGGAUUAUUAGGUGAUUAGAUUGUAGCCUACGUUUAUCCGCCGAGUUUUAUCGAGUAUUAAAUCUAACAUCAAAUAAUUAAAUAUCUACUUGGAAUGCUGCGGUGGAUGAAUUUUCACGUAAAGAAUUAAUUCAAGUUAACAGUUUUUGCUAUUAAAUUUUUGAUAGUUUAACACUUGGAUUUUUUUACAUUAAAAUAGUAAAUUGGUUCAGUUAUUCUAAUGCCUUGCAGUCUUUAAAAGUUUUUAAUCAUAUGGAUGAAUUUUCACUCAGAGUAAUGAAUUAACGUAAGAAAAAUGUGAACAGCACUCCGGAAGUUAAAGUGAGGACCAUAUACUUUUACAUAUUUCUUCUGCAAAUUCGUAAUAAUAAAUUUCUUUUAUAAUUGUAUAUUGUUCGUUCGAGAUUGCAGAAUUACUUAAAUUUCUUGUUCCUUAACGAUGGAUGAGCAGAGUCGAGAGCUCGUCAAUGUUUCUCAAGUUACUAUUCUAGUUUUUCAUUUCGUCGCAUGCCAAGAAGCCGCUACUCGCCGGGGGCGAGGGUGUACCGCGGAAUGCCAUUAGCGGGCGGUCGCAAUACCGCCGCAAGUAAUAUCAGAAAUAUCGAUAGACAGACUUCGUUCCGUUGCUGUCCGGCGGACGCGGCGGCUCUGAUAACUCUCGCAGAAAAUGCCGAGAUAACGGCGGGGGCUUAAUUAAAAAAUACUUGCAGCCUGCCGUAAUUACGCGGAGGACUCGUCGCGGGUGAAAGAGAAAGCGGAAGAAGAACAGGAGAUGGAAAGGCGCCCGCGAGAUCUUGUCAAGUCUGCCAUUUGUCUGUUCCGGUGCGUCGUGUCUCUUUCUUUCUCUCUUUCUCUCUUUCACUUGCCUUUCCGUCUCUUCUCUCUCUCUCUCUCUCUCUCUCUCUUCUUUCUCCAUUUUCUCCUCUUCCAAGUGCCCCAUCGACCGACGGUCCCUUGUCGUCUAGGCACGUCUAGGGUACGAGCGGCGUAAACAAGUGGACGCAGUGGAAAAGUAAUUAACGUAUGUGCGUUUGAAACACGAAUGCGGGUGAAAAUGAAAAACCACACGUUACCCGACGCCGCAGUAAGAGCAGCAACGAGGGAGACGGAAGUCAUGGACGGAAGCAAGAGGGAUAACUCGGUCUCGUUGGCGGUGCACCAGUUUAUGCAUUUUUUAACUCCGACUGCCCGGUUAAUUCCCGAAGAGACUCGUGUCGGUAAAAUGGGUUUUUAUAUCAUCACGCGCUCCUCUCGCGCCGGUGAUAUUAACGUGAUUAAAAGGUGCCGAGCCCGGGAGAGCGAAAACCCAAGUAGCCGAAAGUUUCCCGCGCCGGAGUUGAAACUUACGGAGAUAUCACGCCAGACGGUCGAGGGACUUGCCCGCAGCUUUCUAAGAACAUCCAGAACGCACGAACGUUCCGCGAAUUUCCGCGUUGACAUCUGUCGUGUCGAUAAUUACGAUCAUUAGACAUUCCCUCGUGAAGUUGACGCAAAGUUGCAAUCCCGCGGACGGCCGCGAUUAUCCUCGGAGACAACGUCGACGACGACGACGAUAACGACGAUGAUGGAAAACACGGGAGAACCGCGGCCAUUCGCGACGAGCGAGGGAUCCGUCACGAGCAGCGGUGCCGCUCGCCCGCGAGAUCGUCCAAGUUCGUCCUCGAGAAUCGUCGUCGUGGAAGUUAUGAUUAACGUUAAUUUGCGAACGCGAACGAGCGUGGCGUCUAAGUCGAGACCGCGAUCGCGCACCCCGCCGCGCACCCCCUACAUUCGGUUGUCCCAUAGAUAUUUCAUGCGCCGCCUCUCGCCCCUCGUAUAUCAUUCGCCCCGUAACACAUGGCGCCAUCCCCAGAGGGAGAGUAGCUGCACGGGGCCCCUCUCGCGCCCGCGGGGGCGAAGCGUUGCAGACGGCCGGCGUGUCUCGUCCCGUAAAGCGAAGACGAAGGAGGAAGGCGGACGUUGUACGCUUUGCACGGCUGGCUGGCUCGGAUGGCUGGACGGGCUGGCUAGAGAAGAAGGAAGGGACGGGUUGAUGCCUUAAUUUAUCACCGUGACCCACGUCUUCUAGAGACGUCGCCGCGAGGCGACGUCCAUCCCCAUCGUCCACCCCAUCACCCUCCGUUCGCUUGUCCAGUAGAAUGGCUCUUAAUCAGCUCCGAUACGGCCGUCUGUUGUCGGUAAACGGCGGUCUAUUGUAAAGCGGAUUCCGUGCUCCGAGUUGCGACCGGAGGUCAACGUUCCCCGUCGAAGAACGUCGCUCGGCACGGGGUUUGUCCGUCGAAGAUAGUUUCGUGAUUCCCGAUCGGUGGCGCUUAAUGGCCGUUCUCUAUUGUCGAUUAUCGGAUUAACGUUUUUGACUAAACGAGCAAACGUAUUCGGAGAGACGCGCAUGAAUAUUAAUUUGCCAGAGAUGAAAUAUCCCGCGAGAAACCCCCGUUAAAGUUUUGACUUCAUACAGAUCGAAGCGUUAAACAUUAUCCAGAAAUUUUAAUAUCCAGUUACCACGCGAAUUUUUACUACUACUUUGUAUACACGCUAACGCGCAAAUUAAACGCCAAAUUAAUUUUGUAACGAAUCCAGUUAUCUUCGCGUUUGCGUAAAAAUCAAAUAUUUUCUAUGUUGAUGAAAAAAAACCACAAAAAUAAACUAACCGCGGCAAGAGUAACGAGUAACUCGAACCAGCGCGUAAUAAGGGGCAAAGAGGUAAUGUUUGCUCUCGCUAGGCUACGAUGCGGAAUUCUCUUUCCAUCGCGGAAAGGGCGUUUUCUAGGCGCAGUCUGCCGCUAAUUGCCGACGCACCUGCCCUUACUCGCGUUUAUGCAGCAGUCGCAGCGUUGCGCAACAAUUAAACAAAAAACCGGGCGGGCGUGUCGCGUCCGGAUUUAUGACGUUCCGUUUCUCCAUCUCCGAGACGGGUCGACGCGAUCGAUAGAUUAGCCAGCCAGCCCGCGAGAUCCUAUUUGAUUCUCAAGUGCGCGGCUUUGUCGGUCGAGAGCCCUCGUUCGAUUACGCCAACCAAUCGACCGUGAACAGUUCCUCGAUUGCGUUUCAGGUAACGAGAAAAACAGCCGGCCGUACCUUCCCGGAGCACAUGUUAAGCGAUCGGAUCUAGCCGAGCGUGAAGAAGAAACCGUACAAUUACAAGUAACCGGGCGGACGAUAACGAGAUUCGACUACUAGAAACAGGCAUUGUUUCUCUAACCGCAUGGACCACGUUUGCGUAACUACACGGCUCUCGUAUAGCGCAAUAGACGUCCGACGUUACGAAGUAUAAGGGACAAAGAUUUCGAUGGGGGAACAUAAGAUUCUGAGGAAAGUAGGUAUCUAAAGGUACGUAAAGAUUCGGGCUCACGGGAGCAGUAAAGUUUCCGAGGAGCCGAGACGCGAGAAAGUUACGAUUUUAAAGCUCGACGGUGUCCCAUCGCGAAUCGAUAUUUCGACGCGCGAUGAAUAAAGAUCGUACACAGAUUAACGUACACGUGCGCGACUAGAUUGCGAGUAUUAUACGGCCUUGCUACGUUUGUGGCUGGCGGUAAUUCCGAUCGCGGCAGAACUUCUGCCGUAAAACAUCAUCAAAGCCAUAUACACGCGCCGGGAAAUCAAGUGGAAAGCGCCGCCACCGGAAGUGCUAUUUUCGCAUUCACCGUGCGAACUAGAUAACUUGCCGAGGGGGUAAAUCCACAUGGCUGAUAAUUCAUGCAUCCCCUUUCUCCGUUUCCCCCGUUAUGCCCGAAUGCUCCUCGAAAGUACCUAAUCGUCUGAGGCUAAAGAUCCGUACAAAGAAAAGCAGAGAUAAAUGAACGUAAAUAAGAAAAUUCAAAUUUAAAAAAAAAUAUUAAAACGUUGAGAAUUAUGAAGAUUCGAGCAAAUCGAUGAUCUACAAAACUCCAAAAAUUCACUUGUGCGGAGAUUCGAUCGUCCAAUGUUGGAGUAGUAGCUAUCUAGCAAAACAUCUAACGGGGAUACUUGGGUGAGUGUCUGGUAUUCCGUGAGGGCGGAUACGUGAAUUGAAGAAUUGCGGGGCUUCGUGGAUCCGGAAAGCAGUCUGUGCCGGAGUGUUUCCGCCACAGCCAAUACGCGCGCGGCACCAUAGGGAAACACGAGACGGAAAAGGCGGACAAAGUUGUUGGCGAACGAGGUAAUCCACGCGACUGGUAACAAAUCCGCGCAUCCCCUUUCUCCAUCUUCUCGUUACGCCCGAGAACACACGACGAGCUUUGCCGUACCUACCCUGCUUACGUACGUACGGGGUGUUUGCUCGGUCACAUUUACAUAACGAAAUAACAAACAGCACAAACACAGUCAAUUUUCAGGUAUUAUUAACUCCUAAUUCAAGAGGAACGCGAAGCCCUCGCUGCUCCAGUUAAGUUCGUCUUGGAUUUCUAUGUUAACUGUGUUAAAUGCUUAUGGCGACUGCACUUUACGCUCAUUAAACUUGUCAGUAGUCUCAAUUGCUCCGACCGUAUUGGAUCGUCUAACGGAAGAUCGUUCUAAAAAAAAAAAAAACCGUUCCACUUGGUCUCACGCCAGACGGAAUUAUCGUGUCGCGGGAAUAUUGUGGCGCAAAGGUCAGUGCGACGUGGCAAAGUUGCGCGUUAUUGAUCCGGACUAACUAGUUGGGUUUGGCCGCUCAUUAAUGCGAUAUUUCAACCGCUAUUUCGUUGCGCGUCGAGACAACACAGGAGAAAAUUCACAUUUCAUCUCUUUUGCAUCAUUAUUACAAAAUACCUGUGAAAUGCGCUAUCCGCAACAUAAAAGGAUUAUUUUCACGAUAUUUAACGCGGAAUAAUUCGACAGUAAAUACCUACGGCAAAUCGUGGCCGUGCAGCUUUACACAGUGGGCAGUUUAGAGUAAUUUACGUGACGUAAAUUAACUGAGUAAUUAAACUCCGGACCAAAUUUCCCCCCCCCCCCCGAGGAAAAAUGCAAUGCAAAUUACUUGGGGAAAUUCUUCCCGUCGCGCGACCGCUUCGAGAAACCGUCAGUACUUGAAGUCACUUUGCCAAGCAGUUUGCCAAUCCAACAAGAUGAACGCUCCGCCGACAGAAUUCCCCUAAGCGCUAUCGCGCGUACCGUAUCCCGCGAACAAAUUUCGCAUAAAAUUACGGGGGACGAAGAUUCAGGGCCACCCGAGCCACCGCGAGGUAAUAUUUUUAGCGUACGCGGCCGCGCACGCGAGGGAGAAAGAGAGAGAGAGAGAGAGAGAGAGACGACGUCGAAACGUACCGGCGCAACGACGAGGGUGCGAGGGAAAACCUCCGUUCGUGGAAGGCAGUAACGUAAUCCUCGGCAAUUUGUCAUUCUCCGUGUACACUGUUUCUUAUUUUACCCGACUGGUGGACACGACGCCACACCGGCGAACCAGCCACCGCCCCUCGCGGGAGAGUAAAUUAUGCGUGGGGGAGGGGGAGGGGUGACUCUUGAUGGUGGCUUUGGCGGCGGAACCCGUGUAAGACGAAACCACCGCGAUAAGGGAAUACGAAGGCACUGAGGAUUCCUGACAUCACGAUGGAUGCCUGACGCCUCUUGCUUCUCAAAUUUUUAUGUCAUUGAAAUAUUCCGUUGUCUUAUAAGUAAUAGCGAAACUACAAUUUUGCUUUAGUGGUCUACAAAUUUUACAAUUUCCUUAAUCCUCGAACGAAUUCUAAACUCUUGGACGGUCUAGAUGGUCUAGAAUGCCGCGAUGUCUACAUCCAGGAAAUAACAUUCAGAAAGAAGGCAAACGUUCUUCCUCGGAGCCUUUUACACGAAAAGGCGACUUGCCUGCUUUUCGCCGUGUCACUCCCGGCGACUAUCGUUCGGGGAGGAGCAGCUCGACGGCGCGGCGGACCAUCGACGUCGACGUCGACGUCGACGUCGGCGCACGUCUUCAUUAUAGAGACGCCGCCUCGCCCGUCGGUGAUUCCGACGGCGAGCGAGCAUCACUUGUGUCCGACUAGCUGAGGCACGUCCGCGUGACGUCGCGAUAUGAUAGAUUGCACCUUCGAGAUGCAUCCGUAGGUAGCCGAGGUAGAGAGCGCGCGCGCGCGCGCGCACACAUACCGCGAUACCGAGGCUGUGAACGUGUGUGCGACUGGCAGUAACGUCGCGUCGCGUCCAACCCGCUCACAAUGUGCCUGCGGGAUCAAGCGGGAUAUUCGGAUACGUUGCGCUACGUUACGGCCGUGCCACGGAGCCAUUCCAGCUGAAAGCGACGAAGUUAGUUGCCCAGAGCAUGUAGCGCGAUCGCCGAACUAAUCCCUUACGUUCUGCACGCCGGACGCCCGAUCGAUCCUCGUCACCGACGCCGACACCGAGGCAGCAGACUGACUGUAUCGAUCACGAUGCGCUCACGGCCAAACCGGUCGGCUUGGCAGUCGCGAUCGCUGUGAUGGACUGGCGUGCAGAUAGUAUGGAAUACUGGUAUGUAUAUCGCGAGACUGUAUAAACAUGUCUGCGGAGAUGACGAUCCCUCAUAUAGCCCGCUGCGCAGGCCUACGGCACGAGUAAUGGGAUCUAAAGUGAGAAGAAUAGCGGGUGUAUCUUCUCGAGGCAACAAAAGCCAUUUUACUCUAAUAGAAAUUUAUCUCGAUGCUCCAUUACGAGGACGUAACGUCGAAAAUUAAAUUUUCGUAACGUAGGCCAUCCAACGUAAAAUUUGCUAAAAAGAACAACCGAUGUCAGACUCGUCGUAGAAAGAUCCGGAUUUACGAUCCGGGAACGUAGAUUAGACUUUACGCGCGUAGUUUAUAAGAGUUUUCGAAUAUUAAAAAACGAGGGGUCGCUCGUCAAGCCGCGCGGAGCGGGAACGACUGUAGCCGAACGAGUUAGCCGAGCUCGGAAGUGUGGAAGAAGGUAGAUGCGCGGACAUUAUCCGAGGGCGGGCAGAUGGUGGAGCGUAAACAACGUUCAACGAUCAGCGCCGCCGAUCCGCGCGCGCGCGCCGACGACUAUACGGCAGCGCAGGGAUGGCCCGUGCUUUCAACCCUUCGUCACCGCGCUCUCCGCGCACCGUGCACCCGCGCUCUACGGUCGGCAUAAAUCACCGCGCAAGUUAUAUUAACGGUAUUUCACACCGCGGCGUUUCGCGGCACGCUAUACCUAACACAUCCCCGCCGGUUGAGAAAAGUAAAGCGGUUGGGCUAGGUCGAGGUGCUUACCCCACCGGCGAGAUAGGGGAGUUGCCCCGGAUGGGUUUCGCACGAAGAUUGCGUCUCACCUUCGCGGAAUCACCUCUGCUAUCUCUCCGCGCGCCCAAAGCCACCCGCGCUCCCGCAUAUAAUUCACUUUCCACGAGGGAAAGAACACCGGAGGGGGUAAGAGAGGGGAAAAGGGCGAGAGAGAGAGUGUGUGCGGAGAGAAUGUGUGGAAGAACGUGAAGGAGUAUAGGGCUCUGCCCAAGUAGUCGGCGUAAAUAACGAUCGAUAAUCCGAAGGGAAUUCGAGAGGCUACGAUGUCACGAUGCUUAGAGCGAUUAAAACGCUAAGGACCCUUAAUCGUUCGUGCUGAUAAACGUCCCGAGUGACGUCUUCGGGGCGAAAGAAAAAUGGAACGCGAGUUACUCGGAGAUAAAGUUGCCGCUACUUGUACACGCCUUUCUCUCGUGGCACUUUGGAGAACGACACUUUCGUAACCGUUUUACGAGAAGGAAUAUUUUAAGCGACAUCAAAGAGAAUUCAUCCUCCGAGAGACCGGAACUUUCCCGUUCAUCGACAAAGUUCCGUAAAUCGAGCUAUGAAUGUAAGACGAAUGUCACUAAGGCGAAAGAUUCUUACGAUCGCGUGCAAGAUUGCCGAUCGAAUGUUCGACUUGUUCUUGCACAAGGUAUACUCGUACCUCAGAGAGAAAUUAAAUUGCCAAAGUUACGCUCGCCCAUUCGGAUAAUCUCGCAAAAUAAUUCUGAUACCAUUCGGCCGUGCCAGAUUCCAUAGUUUCCAUCAAAAUUCCACGUUUUCCAUAUAAAUUACGUAAUAUUUCAUAAUCGAAUUAAAUAUUAAAAUACCAUAUUUAAAAGCCAAUAUAAAUAAAGAUGUGAAAAUAUUUAAUAUUGAAACGCGGGAUCAAUUUAAUAUCGUAAUGUUUUAAUAAUUUAAUCCGUAAUACGACUGACUUUCUAUUCGAUGUUAAUCGGACAUAUUAAUUUCAUUGAAAUUAUUUAAUUAAAAGAGCUGGCGAAGAUUGCAUUCGAUAUAUACGCGUUAAAACAAUAAUUUUAACAAGUUAGUAGUUAAAAAUCGGCGCACGAGACCGGAGAUGUCGCGAUGUCGCAUUAGUCACGAUCGCGUACGAGCGAAUUUCCUCCACUAACGAAAGAUACUUCCGAUGACUUGGCAUGCGGAACCGCAUGAUUUUCCGUCUGUUGCGGUUACAGCAGGUGGCCAGUAACAACUUCAUGAAAUACAAAGUUAGUUGCAGCUUUGCGCGGUAUUUGCGUUGGACUAUCUAACGUCGGAGCAAAACAUUCUGCCCGGCUUGUUUUAGAUGUUACACCAACUCACCUCGUCCCGUUCCCCGGCCUCCUCUCCCUUCGAGCGGACCAACUUUGCAGCUCCGUUACAAUUUCAGAAUCACAACGAAUAAUUUUGUGUCACGGCGAAAUUAUGCCGGGUACACGCGCGCCGAAAGUAACUCAGUUUAAUCGUUAUAAUCCGCGGGUCUCGUCCCGUUCUAAUUUCAAAGUUACGUUACGGUUAUAGCGAUGCACACACGGCGAAACGACUCGCGUAGCUUUCCGUAGCAAGAUUAUCCUGUUUACGAUGAAUUAACACUAAUUGAGGAACCGUUAUCCGAUUUGGUAGAAACGUAGAGUAAGCACUGAGAGGCUGUUAAAGCGUCGUGGAAACAGCAGUUCGCCACACACGUACGCACACACACACAUCGAUUAUAUAACUUGGCUCGGUUAAUCGACUCCUUAAUCUCUAUGCGGAAUCUUUAAAGAAAAUUGCAUGGCCGGCGUGCAGGCUCUUGUUGUAGAUUGCACGCGCCGUGGAUUAUCGUUUAGCCAGAUACACGACAUCGAAGAAAAUCAAGAGUUAUAAAUUAUACGCGCUGUAACUUUAUAGCUUUUUUUCAAUCCCCGCCUGGAGCCACGCGAUUAUGAUUCCCGCGAGACACUUUGAACGACUUGCUGGCGUCGCUCGUCGCUUGUUAUUUUUAGAUAUCAUCGAGACACGCACGUACGUGCGUGUAUACCUGCGUACGCCAUGCGUGCGUGCGUGCGUGCAUGCAUGCAUGCGUGCAUGCGUGCGUGCGUACAUACGUGCGUGUGUCAAGCAUGUGCGCCAGUCAGAUACACAAGUCUGCGUCGAAAGGGAAAUAAUGAUUUAACUACAAAUGUUUGCCAUAUGUUAAAAAGGGGAAGCUACAUAAAUCUGUGAUCAAAACGUAAAGUUAAUUGUUAAGGAGCUUCCAAAAAUCAAAUGUUAAGCUGAAGAAAAAGGAAACGUAACUCGCUCUUAUGCCUUGUCUACAAUGAGUCGUUAGUCGUUGGUCGUAAGAAAUUUAGCUAAUCACAGUUGAUCUUAGAGAAAGUGAAUAUAAUUAGUUAAAUUUCUUACGACCAACGACUAACGACUCAUUGUGGACGAGACUUUACGCGAUAGUUUCCCGAUAUCUUUAAUUAAUUCAUCGAUUCUUUGCGUCAUCGCUGGAUCACUGAGUAUAUUCAGAAGUUUGUGUAAUGUCUACUCUAAAAAGUAAACUCUUAAUUCUAAACUUCUUUCGCCACCAGCUGCGAGUUUCGCUACGAGUUUCGUUUCGGUAAGACUCGAUAAUCCCAGCUGCACAAAUAAAUUUCGCGAUCGAAAUGGAAAGAAUGGCGAGAGGACCCAACACGUCGAUCCAGCUUUAGGAAUGGCAAUUACAGGCUUCAUUUCGCUGGAGCUCCAAUUAUCGUCACCAUUCUUUGUCCGAUGGACCGUCAAUUCCGAGCGACGGACACGCCGACCUCGAAGAGUGGAUGAUGCAUCUCUCCUCUCGUUCCUGGACCGUUUAAUUAAAUUUGCCGAAGACUGCCGUUCUCGUUAGGAUGAAAAAUUCUGUUUCGCGCCUGUAAGUCCCGUUGUCUCGGCGCCGCGCGCUAAUGUGAUAAUUACAAUUAAUUUAUCGUCGUGCCUCGCGAAAGACGAUGAGGUAGCGUCGGGUGGAGAGGACCGAAGUAGACGGACUGCGCGAUCGAUGAAAGGGCAACAUUCGAUUAAAGCAAUUAUCCCUAUUAGCGUGCGCUUUGAGCGACAUGUUGAUAAUCUUUCAGCUAAAUGCAAAGUUCUCAAUAUAAGAUUUGAUAUCCUUUGAUCUUAAAUAUUCUCAACCUUUGUACUUCAGGAAUCAAUUAAAUUUUUAAGCUGAAACGUGAAAUGAUAUCUGAAUUGCGAUACAAUUGCAUUCGCAUAUUUAACUUAAUAAUAAAGCUUUUUUUUAUUAUACUCGAAUGUUUCGAUGUAAUCUUACGAUGAUCGUGUCUUGCAAUUUUUUUUCCGUUAUGAUUUUACCGAUUCAGCUUUUUCUCGUACAUCCAUAAUAAAAUAUCUAUCGAUCUAUGCACCCGUCUCUCACUUUUUUAAUUUCCAUCCAAGUUUCUCGAGCAGACUCGAGAAGAGACGGCUGUUAUUGCGUUUGAAGCGCGCCGGCUUGAUUUGAUGGAUUGAUCGGUAAACGGAAACGACUCUACAGAAUUUUAUGCCGUAGGACAAAAAAGACGGUCGCCCGAAACCGCCGAACUCGCGAUGGAAACAAUGCGUUUAUCGAGAUGUCGCUUGUGAAAAAUAAAAAAUCAGAGAUUGGACCAAUUGAUAUAAAAUUGUUUUUCUGUGAGCGCUGCGCGAUCGAAAACUACGCGAUCUCCUACGAGAAUGUACAUUUCCAUUUGUGAUUCCAACAACAUCUAAUUUAUAUUAUGUGCUUUAAAUAUGUGCAUUUCUUUUUAAUAUUUCAUGUUUGUUCUGCUUCCGAAAAUCUGUUUCACGCGAUGCACAAAGAACGAGCGGGCGAAGGGUGUGCGAAAGAGGUGAAAAGGAAUGAAAAAACAAUCAAGCUCUGCCGACGAAUCAUUCGAGCGCGAAUAGACGGAGUAAUAAUAAUCAUCAGUUGCAUCGGCGACGCCCGAUAACAAAUCCCGGCCGGAGAGGUGACGGCGAAAGAGGAAAAUAAAAAAAAAGGGAGAAAGAGAGACACAAUCGCCGAUAAUAAAAAUAAAAUUGACGUUGCCCCGGCGAAAAUCGAGCGAUUUUUCGCUUCUCCCCUCCCCCCCCCCCUCGAAUCGUCGUCCGCGACCAUCCUCCCGCGUCGCGCAUUCUUUUUACUCCGUUCUAUUUUUCCGACGCGUCGCGUCGGUUGCUCAUCCGUCAACGAAUCGAGGAGGAGGCACGUUGUCACGCCGACGCGUCGCCGGAAACGGUAAAGCUUCCGGCGUUAUUUUGGACUUUUCGCCGCGCCGUAAAUCAGCGGCGCGCUGGCGCGCGCAAUUCUUCCAAAACUCAUCCCGAAUCCCCGCGAGGGAGAGACUGAAAAACUCGAAAGACAAAAUAACAGCAUCGCAUCGCGAUGGCCGCGUCUGUCACGUCGGUCCUGUCCGCGCAGUCCGAUAACGCAUCCGAUACGUGUUUAUCGCGCGCUACGGCUAAUGAGAUUUCCGACGUGCAAAAAGCACAAAGUGCGCACGCGCGCGGAAGCCAACCCGAAACAGCCGCGGUUUGAUAUUCGAUUAUUACAAGUUUCCGUCGGCCCCGUUACACCCCCGAUUGAAUUAAUCCGACCCUUUCAUGCAAUUACAGUCGCGGGCGUUCGAUUAAACCGCGAGAGCCACGCGCGAAUAAACCGUAAACGCGUAAUUAAUCACCCUCGUAUUCGUUGCGAUUACUAUGGUCGAGUGCUCCUCUACAAAGGGUGUCACGAGUUAAUCAUUGUUAUUCAAGACAAAUCCUCGAGGCCGUCAUCGCCCUGCCAAUGAGGACGCGACGAAACUUUAUCGGCCGCGGUGAAUUUGAAACGAGUUACAUAAUGCUCCAAAUCCAGUAAUUCAAUAGAGAGGAUCAAUAUUUCGAGGAAACCGAGGAUGCUGAGUGCUCCUUAUCGAUACUUCGUCGCGAUUUUAAUUGCGUAAUAAUCAGCUUUGUGCACUCGAAUCCUCAAAUCUACCCAGUCAAACAUUUACAGCAAUUGCAGGUUUUCUAAUAAUAACAAUAAUGUACAAAUAAUCAAAAUAAUUUCAACAACCGCAAGCUUUUAAUUUCUUAGCUUUCACGUUAACGACUCUCUUCUUCGUUCUCUCUCAAAAGGAUCAUAAAACCUUUCCAGCGCGAUGAAUAUAAAACAAGUAGCGCGACGCGCGUUUCGCCGGACUUAAUAAUUCAAGCGGAGAAGCCGAGGCGUCUGGCGAAAUCGCAACUAUUCAAUGCUCCUUUUCCACCCAAAACCUCUCGUUGAUUCCUUCUGGUUUCUUUCUCCUUUAUGUCUCCACGUAGCGCUCCGAGAUUUUUACGGGUGUCUCGUGAAAAAGAGCGCGGUAGAAGGAGGUCGCUGCGAGGCAUGGUGCACAAGCAAAGAGGUAUGAAAUUGAACCCAGCGUACUUGCAACUUGCGCUCUUUGAGCUGGGGCUAAUUAGCCGGACUCCCUUCAACAAGGUCAACGGCAAGAACGACGUACGAGCGGGUUAGGUUGGGCACUUUUGAGGUUAAUUCAAGGCUGCGCGCCGCUAAGCAGCUACUACGGACCACACACACGUAGAAUGUAAUUUCUGCUUUAUUUUCUGGAGAAUGGUAGCGACGUCCUGCACAUCGUCACGGAGCUUCUCACGGCGAAUGAGUGUUUGUAGCCUGGACGUGUUUACUGUCUAGAAAACGCUUCGUUUAAAUCCUCUUUUGCAAGGGAUGCAUGCGCGGAUCACGUACCGGGCCAUCGCCACGUUUUUGUUAGGACGAAUUUCCUCAGUGGAACAAGCAAAUUUUCAACUUUACUGGUGACUCGUAAAAUUCUUCAUUUAUUGAAAUAGAACUUUGAGGAGAGUUGCUCCAAAGAGAAGAGAUUUUCCGUCGCAACCACGGGGAAUAGAAGUGACAAAUAUGGAACGAUCAAAAAAUUUCUCGACUUCCAACGUAAUCCCAAGUAUGUAAAAAAUUUUUUUCAGAUUAAAAUAUUUCAAGUUUUUUUAAACUUUUAAAUACUAGGACUCUUAAUUACGGAAACUAAAAUCAAAUAGGAUAUUCGAGUUGCCGCGACACGAGAUCUUUGGAAUACUCCGUUGGCAAAUGAAGCUUCACAACCGUGUCCUUGCCACGUAUUCCAGAGUGAAACCGCACGUGCCCGCGGCAGUGCCCCGUAACAAGCAUUUCCCUGGGGUCCAUCCGAGCUUACCCUUCACAGCAUCCGGCAGGAGGGAAGCCGAUUGCUUACGGCGAAUCCCAAUAUUUAUGCGGGCAAUGAGGCGCGCCGCCAUAAAUAUUUUAUGCUCCGCCACUUUUCGAAUUCAGCGCGCGCCCGAAUAUGCGAGAAAGAGAGGGAAAGAGAAAAGAGAGAGAAAGAAAUAUACAAUGGAACACAAUUCUCGAAAGCUCGUUCGUCUUCGUUCGUCACGAAUGAUGCCUUUCCUUCCCCGGAAUCGAUGGCCCUUAGAUUUCUAUAGGGAUCUUGAAUAGACCAAUAAAAGUAUUACGAGUUUUGAAUGCCCUAAUCUGCGGAUAUUACUACUUGAAUAAUGAAAUCUUUCUUAAAUCUUCGAUUGAAUGUCCUGAUGUGCGCGAAUUACCUAAAACAUUUUUAGAACGAUUUUUAUGCUUUAGUGCGCAGUUUUUGACAAAUAAUAAUAUAAUUUUUAUUAAAUAUUUUAGGCGCUUAAUAUCGCAUCAUGAAAGUUGUAUUUAGCUUUUAGGGAGGGAAACGAGCGUUAUGUUUUAAGCGAUACGAGCGUGGGACGUAAAACACGACACGGAUCAUUGCGAAAAGUGCCAACUCCACUUUUGUCGGUGACAUUGUUGGAGGGAUCAUUACCUCUGAAUUGCUUGCACCAACUACGAUCACUUACGACCGCGUAUAACGCGCGCAACGUGUAACUGGGUUACAGAGCGCUGACAGCUACCGCUGAUUUGAUUGGUCAAUUACUCGAGUUUGCUCGUUACAAAGUAACAGCUCGGACCUGAUAAUUUACGGAAAUGAUAGCUGAAAGAGUUUUAAAAAAGGGAUGUUGCGAAAUAACAACUUGACGUUUAUCUCACACGUUCGCUCUUUAAAAAAAAAUAACUUCCAGGAAAUCUAUUGUUACAGAUCGUCCACUGUUUUCUUAAUAGAACAAAAGAAAAAAAUGUUGUCUAAUGAUUGCUUAAAAGCCGAGAUGACAAAAGAAAUGCGAAUUUUAAUAAUUAUGAUAUAAAAAUUUAUAAAUACAGAACUACGAGGAUUUCCCCAAAAUUGAAAUAAAAGUCUAGUAAAAUAUCUUUUAAUUCUAGUAUUCACAAAAAAAUCACAAGUUUUCAAUGCUCGAAAUAUAUUCAAUAAUAUCGACAUAAAUUUAAUGAUAAUUUAAUAAUAAAGAUCGAUAGUAAAGUUUCAGUUGAUUUUACGAUAAUGACAGUAAUAUCACCAAUAAUGCGAUUUAGUAUUAGUAUACUAUGUAACAAACUAAUUGCUUGCGUCAAGUAAUAUUAACGUGAACCACUUUAUUCGCGAUCCACAUGCAUUAUUGUCUAGCGAUGAAGAGGAGCAUUUAGCAUCUAGUAAUUCUGUUAUGCAUGCGAACAAGCGGAUUAAUAAAGCUGAUAGUUUACGUCGAGUAUCGAUUCUAUUUUUUGUAGCUUCAAAAUAUUCAGUUUCGAUAACCGAGACAAAUUGGAAAAGAACUUUAAAUGUUGAAAUUUUUAAAUUAACCGGCAUACUGGCGUAUAAUUACAUUUUCAGACCACCAAAUCCUCGUAAUCUUCAUAGCUCUCUAAUUACAAAAAUACAUGUGCAUAAUAGUUCCCGAAUGAUUAAAUUCGAUAAUUUUUUUUAAAUAUCAUAUUCAGUUCUCGUAUUUAAAUUCGAAAAAUUUAGAGUACCGAGGAUUCUUCGUUCCCUAAAUCCACGGAUUAGCGUACCUUUUGUUUGAAGUUCCGCAUCUUAAGUACGCUCUGCACGUCGAGAUACUAACGUCGAUAUAUUCUAGCGGUAGCACGGCAAGAUGGCACCCGAGUUUCGCACAGAGUCCAUGAUUCAUCGAGCGGUGAGGCAGUCCAUCGGUUAUGCCAAUGCCGCAGUCCCUCAUCCGCGGCUUACCCUUUCCCUCGCACCCUUCUAUAGCUGCCGCUUAACCAUCCUCCCGUGUUCGGACAAAACGUGCCACCCUCCGCGACAUAUUGCGUAUGAUCCCGACCGAACGGCCAGGAAGACAAAUGGUCGGGAUGCUAAGACAUCUUCGAGCUACUCCAACCAGGAUUAUUUCGAGAUGAAGACAGCGCCGAGCUUCCUGAAUCCAGAAAGCGAUGUAGUACCGCAAAGAAGGGAGAGGGAGAAAGACAGACAGACAGACCGACAGAGAGAAAGAGAGAGAGAGAGAGAGAGAGAGAGAGAGAGAGAGAGAGAGAGAGAGAGAGAAAUAUGAAGUUAACUUUGGGAAGUCGCGGGCAGACUUGAAGUACUAUCUGCCAGGCAAAACUUAUAUUUUAAAGCUAGUUUUGGUGGCGGGCAAACUUCACGCGAAAAUGUCUUUCCGUGUAAUGUAGAGUGCACAGGACGUAAUAAUAAAUACGGGACAUCGUAACUAUAUUUAUGGAGAGAUCGUGAAUCUCCGUAUUAUAAUUAGACAAAUUCUCGGACAGAUUUAUGAGUCGUGGAAAUUCCUGAAACUUCCGUCCUCGAAAUCACAAACUCCUUGUAUAUCCGUAGAUUAUACAUUCUCUAAAUUUCUCUCUCUCUCUCUCUCUCUCUCUCUUUUUCUAGCUAUCUAUUUUUUUCUUUCCAAGAGAAAUUCUAAGAUUCUUAUGUAACCUGUAGUUUCUGAAAAUUUUAGUUUCUUUAUUUCCCCACAAAAAUUCUUAACAUACAUAUCUAUGACACAUAUUAUUUUUCAUAAUUCUAGUAUUAUUGGCAAAAUUAAUAUGGCUAAAAAUUUUUUAAUCGAGGAGAGGGAAAAACUGCGAUAUCACCGCAGUUCCACUGCGGAGAAUAUAACGGGUGAGCUUAAAAUGGCUCAAGGUCAGUCGAUAUCGAUUCCAAGACCUAGAAGGUUCACGGGGUCGGUACCGAUUUGCGUCAGUGCCGUUCUAUAGAGAAGAACCUGGCCUCGACACGAAAACGUUCCAAAUUCUUAACGGAUAGCAUCCUGGUACAACUGCAUUUUCGCCUUCUCGACGCCUACCGACGCCGGUGAUGUACAGGUGCAGCGACCUACUUUUCGAAGCGAGUCACGAGCGUCGAUGCAUAUGUAAUUCCUGUUCUAUUACUCCUUACGUUGGGAAAGGUCGCAGCCAACGAAAGAAAAUCUCUCUCUCUCUCUCUCUCUCUCUCUCUCUCUCUCUCAUACACACACACACACACAAAUACACGGAGUUUCGAGUUUAAUGACGACGGGAGUUUCUUGGUCGACGACGGAUCGGGGUGUUCUGCGAAUAGAGAGUUACAUAACUGCCGCAUUGUCUUUUCAUCUUUCGAGUAUUCCCUGACUUUAUAUAUCGCACUCAUACAAAUUAAAUUUGUGUUGAGUUAAUAUUUUCUCCUCACGAAAUCUGAAGAUACUACGCCCAAAGGACCUGAGCGUUUCAAGAUUCCAAGAAGAUAAUCCGUGUAACUAUAAACUAUAAAUUGCUAAAACCUUACUUAGAUACAUCUUUGGAUUUUUAGACUUUUUGUUCCACGCACUUUCGGAUCUCUGAGACGUCAAGCACGAUCUUUCUCGUUUUUAAACAAUCCUACGAGUUAUCGUUAAUGGAACAUCGUCGGUGAUACAUCGUCUUCUCGCGCUUCGUCUUUACCUCGAAGAACAAGAAUGGAUGUAGGACAAUCAUGUGAGCGAUCCCGAUAGGGGAGAAGCACUUCAAGUUCUCUCCGCAGAGCGUAACUCGAUAUUGCAUUAAUGCGAUAUACGGAGGAUUUUGAUGGCGGCCGAGGGCCAAGUCGGUUGCAAUAUUUCGUCGUUCCGGUGUCAUAUGGUGAGGCGCCCAGGGGUAUUGCGUUUCCGUCAGGGGUUAGUGGUGGAUUAAAGGGGAUACGUUAUUAAGAAAUGGUCGCGGUGUCGCUUUACAGAAAAGACCUGUGCCCGACUUGCAAGAAACGCAUGGCAAGGUACGCGUAAUUACCUUUAAGAUCUGCGAUUUCUCGUGUCGCGAGUGAAUGUUUCAUAAAUCGCAAGAUCUUUGAAGUCCGGACUUUCAGGACUCUUUAUACAGUUUUCAUUAGAAGCGCGAUUAAUAUUUGAAAAAUAUUAGACCGUCAGUGAGACAGUUUCGAAACGACGAAUUUUUUUUUUUUCUCUCUAAAAGACUUUCACGAAAAUACUUCCGAAAGGCAAGCAUUUAGGUUUCUGGCAUUCUCUACAACACGAAUUCGUGCGGGGUAUACUCAGGCGUGGCAGAUCCUCGUAGAGGCAUAAAAUCGUACGCGUCAUACGGUAUGCUACAGUGGACACUAAUCGACGUGCGGAGGGUUAAUAAUUCAUAGCGCACGCCCCGUAUCUCGGUUCAAAACGUGAUCCAUCGGCAAGUCGGCUGCAUGACUACUUCAUUACGACGUAAUAAGCGUACAGCCGGUCCGGUCGAUGCUCUACUAAACCAGAACCAGAAACAGUGAACUCGAACGGAGCGGAGUCGGUACACAGAGCGUGCCGGCGAAUGAGCAGCGGGAUGAGUUGGGAACGUAGAACCGCAUAAAGGAUGAAAGGACGACUUCCCGAAACUCCGAAGCGUCGCCGCUCAUAUAAUCCUCGAGCGCAUUGUGUCUUUGACGCCGGCAAUGAUAUUGGCACUACGGCAUUAGCGCAUCGGGCCAACUUUGACGACCUGUGUAUCAGUGUCAGUGCUCCUCUCAGACAACGCUACCUAUUUACACGACAAAUUAGUUUACUUGUUCUUAGAGCGAGACAGACGUCAUGCCUACCAUUUGCAGCUGCUUGUAAUUUACGGUCAAUUACAGUCGGUUUUCAAGUCAGGAAUAUUAGACCGGCGCAACUGAAGGCUGUCGAUUAUAUAUACAUAAAUUUUGAGAAAAAAUUUUAGGCAAUUUCUUGGAACAAUCGCAAAACUCCGUUAAAUGUAAAAAAAAAUAUAUAUAUUAAUUUUUAAUUUACUCGACCAUUUAAGAACGUAACUAUCUCGCGAAAAUCUUUCCUUUCCUGACGGAGAUCCGUUUCGUGUCGUUGGUAUUUAAAUUCUACACGGCACAGAGAGAUAAAUCGCGGUGUAAUUACCUCAUUUAUGCAGCCGACCUUUGUACAGAACAUGUCGCGCUAGAAACGCACCCUCCUUGCAAUUACACCACAGCUCCAAGGUAUUUUAUAUUGCAUUAAACCAACAGCUAAAAGUGCAACGGCGCGAUAGGAAAGACCAAAGGGUCCGAUGUUACAGAAGAUCCUGCGAUUUCUUCUGCAGCUUUCCGGAAACGAGGCGACGUGCAUCGCGCGUUAAAUUUAAACGGAGCGAGAUAUAAUUGGAGUAGAACGAUUGAUCGAUGACGCCCAUUUCGUGGAACCGGACAAUGAUAUAUCUCGUACAGGCGCGGUCAUUGAUCUAAUUAAUACCGUUCGCCGCUACCAUUAGCGUGCCGUAGCAGCGGCGCAAUCGAACACAGGUCGAACUUAAUCAGCGAAUGUCUGCGCGACGAUGCGGAUAUGAUGCGGCGCUAAUUGGGACAAUCUCGCUUGCCGGCGGAUCACGCAACGCCAAGAAAGAGGAAAUUCUCAUUCUCGGUAGUUCAGUAGAUAAAUAAUGAAGAACGGGUCGAAAAGAUAGAGGUGGCUACCAUCUACGAGAUACAUCUUAUCCUCGUACGAGGAACGCGCAGUUAGUCCACGCGGAAGUUUUAUUAUACGCGGAAGAGUAAUGUCGACAGCCAACGCCGACGAGGCGGUAAUAAGAUAUAUUUUUCAACGCGUGCUCUCGUGCAGGUUUCGGCGGAGCCGAGUGCUAGCGAUUUUAUUUAUGACGGGUGUCUACUGGCCCUAGCAGAUACUGCCUUCUGAGACAGUCUAUGUAACACUGUUACGUAUGAAUCUCCGUAAAACAUAAAUAUAGAUAUGCGAAUGUUCAAAAUUCACAAAUUCGCGUUUUGACAAGUCGCGAAUCUAUGAGCGUACGUUACGCGUACUUUUCUAGACGGAAGUCUGUGUUUCUCGAAAUGCAACUCGAGAUAGAAUAUCUACGAUUUUGUUCGUGAAUUUAAAAUUAAAAUAACGUAUAAAAGAUGCAAUUCUAUCUGCAGUUAUGAGCUUCUAAAUGUCCUAUAAACACAUCAUAAAAAUACAAGGAUGUGUACAUUCAAGUAGAGAAAGAUCUGUGAAAAUAUUGUUGGCCACCAAACGAGAUAAAUGCAGAAUUGUCAAAGAUAUCUUUGCACCCGUCAAGAUAAAAAAUCCUUACAGAGAUGAUGUGAAAUACCGAGAUAAAUGUAAAAACUAUUUUCACUGAAAAGUACAAUUAUAUGGAUGUUCUAUGAUUAAUCUAAAGAUUUAUUUGGGACACGAAGCUUUUAGCAGCAGAAGCGUUUACAUACCAGAUAAGCCGGUAAAUCUAGAGACCGGCUAGCUAGAGACAGCCGGCCAAAAGCAAAGCUGUUAGUAAAGCAAACUUCACCGGGUUGAAUUAAAUUAAUGCGCGGCACGGCGCGCUGCGCGGCGGGAGUGUACUGCAGUAACGAGCGUGCCCAAAACGCAGCGAUUAUGUGUAAAACUUCGGAUUAAGAUGUAACACUACGCUAAGGAACCAUCUUCCUAGCCACCCUCCAUUUUUAAGGCAUGAAUAAUUACUUGAACAACUCCGCGAGUACUCCUUAAUACGAAACAGCGAGUGUGCGCAGUGUUUCCCCUCCGCGUCCGGGCUAAUCUACGAGACACCAUAAAUUUAUUAACAACGAAAAUGAGUUAGUCGAUAGUAACGAGCCGCUUAGUCCGAGAACGCUCCGAGCCUCUCCGACUUUUCUCGUCCUUCUCGUCGAUAGUGUCGCCAUUGCCUCGCUCGUCUCACCCUAAUAUUCUGGGAUAUUAAAUACCCCUGCCCGAGCGGAUAACACAUCGCCCCGAAAUUCCCCGGCGAGGCGAAAUUCCUCGCUCGCCCAGCUCGGGAAAGAGAGACUGCAAAGUGAGGAAGGACCGCGCGGCUGACGGAAACAAAAAGAUUAUCCUUAUUUUCUUCCUCGAUUCCCGUUUCUGUCACGUUCUUACCGUAAUUGUAGCUGUACAACGAUCAGAACAAUGCGCCAUUAAACUGACAAAUAUUGAAAUUCGAAAGAAGAUAUUGGAGUGGAGUCUAAUGACGGUCCUAUAUUAUAUUCUUACGGAACUUCGUGUCUAACGAUCGUAGAAUUUUAUAGACUUUUUUUUUGCCAACAAUAAGAACCUUCUAAAAAUUUACGGACGUUAAUACUCGUAGUGGCCCGAUAUACCGCGAAGUUACGUUGAAUGACUCAGGAUACUGUCGUUACUUCUAAGAGUAACUUCACGACUUUUGCAACUUAGACGAGGCAACGGGGAGCAAGUAGCGUGUAUCGCUAACAGGCGAAAUAUCGUUAAUAAAAUUAAAUGGAGUAGCUCACGCACUCAACCCAGUCCUCCACCAUCUUGGAAACGUACCGCUGGCAUUCUUAUACACGCAACAAGAUUUGAAAAUGUACUCCGUGCUGCGAUCUUAAUUGCAUUUAAGGCUUGCGCGUACGACACUUUUCGUGACGUAAGUCGUCUUAUAACAAACGAGAAACCAUAAAAUUUCGUAAACACAUAUGUAAUAUGCGUGUGAGCAAAAUUUCAGUAAGACAUCGUUGCGGCGUCAAUAUAGUUAAAUAUAAUCCAGUUAUUUCCAAUAAGUACUGACUUGACUAAUAAAAUAAGACAAAACGCAUUACCCUUUUUUUUUUAAACUAUAUACACAAUCACGAAAUUAAUUGUCCGAGCACAAGAGUCCUGAAUUUAUGUUAUAAUUUCUCCGAGUUAAAGAAAAACAGUAUAUCAUUAAGAUUGCAUCAGAUCUACGCGUCAAUAAAAUUCUAAGACGCUGCGAGUACGAAAAUAAUUACGAGUUUUCUUAAUAAACGGAAAACCGUACGCGCUAUUACCGCGGAUCAUUAAUGAAGGCCGGGACACGAAUUCGUAGAUAAAAGAUCGUGGGGAUUGACGAGUGUAGAGCUCUGCGAAAAGAGUUUCACGCUGUCUCGGUAGUGCGGUUCAUCGUUUACCCUUCACGCGCGGCUCCAGUGGGAACUCUUGAGUCACGUUUCCCGUUCCCGGGGACAGAAAUCUUCUCCCCGAGCUCUAGACACGUACAACAUAUAACCAACGUUUCGCCGGUUCCAACUUCAGGGACGAGUACGAGCGAAAGGGGAUCACGCAAGGGCCGGGCCAUAACCGGACGAGGAUCCUCGACGCGAUCGUAGAAAGGAGGCCGGGAUCUCCCCUUUUCUACGCCGGUGAAAACCUUCCGAGAAACUCUUCCGCUCUUCGUAACCCCGUAACCCUUCCGUCAUUACGACGCAUUGGGGAUGCUAAACUCUUCCGGGAUGUCUAGCCACAUUUGUCCCUUCGUUCACAGUCGUGCAAGUUGUACAUACAGCUGGGCGCUCCCUCCCCUCCGCUUGACUCCCCAAAAGUCUUGAGUUAGAAGUCAUUCAAAUUCGUUCAUCGUGUUUAUUUCAACUCUUUUAUUUACGUUGCUCAUCGACUUUCGCGUUCAAGUGUUUGAAUGGUAAGCUAUUAUUUACUCGCAGUUCUACGUACAAUUACGUUUUCCUGCGAAUGUAGAAGUGUUCUCCUCUCUCUUUGCAAUAAGAUUGUAAAAAAAUAUACGAAGCGUUACAUGAAUGAAAAAAAAUUUCUCAAUUGGAUGCACGAGGCAUUUUACAUAGAAAAUGCGUAUUACACUGUCGGUGCAUGACAAACUCGACUUCGGCAAAGUAAUCGCUGUUUCUUCUCGUUCCGGGAACAUUCAUUCACGAAACAUUCACCGCAAAGCAUUUUCAAAGUGUUUUCAAGGAAAACUAUUACGUCCUAGAUACUCGACUACUUUCCUCUUUCAGACAAAAGCGUUAUAGCGUUUAUAGUACCUCAAGAAUUUAAGAUUAUCGAGCAAGUACCUUGACAAGUAGCGACAGAAAUUUUAAAACCCGGAUUCAGAAAAUGUUAUGAUAUAGUCUUCAAAUUUUAUACAUAAAUCUUCGAUUUUACAAAUUAUUAAGCUGAAAUCAUCCUUGAAUUAAUUUUCGGUACCUAGAUAAGCCUCAGACUCAAUUGAUUUCAUGGCACUUUUUAUUCUCCAGGGAUUCUUUGCACCUAACAGAUUUUCAUUGCAGACAUGCAAUUGCGGUAGAUGUCGCAUUCUCGCAAAAUUGCGGAUCGCUUAAUCUCGCAGACGUACGAGGAGCGAAGAAAGAUGGAAGAGAGCGCACCGAGCGACGUGAAAUCCUAUUAAGCGAUCCCCAGCCUCUAUCUUCAUCCGACGCGUCUGAUGCGGCUGACGUCUCGAAACGGCCAGGAAAUGGAAUGGAUGCAUAGGAGCAACAGCGACGAUGCCGUGGAAACAGAAAAGAGGCGAUGGACGACAAGGAAAAGGGGACGCAAGGAGGCGCAAGAGUGAAAGGGAUCUAAAAUGGAACCAACCGAAACGCCUGUCGGGACCUGAAUUCCCUUGUGGAAUGGAGGAUCAUCGUUACCGGAAGCCUUCGACCGGAAAUCUCGCUAGCGGCUCGGAAAGGUUUCCACCCUCUCUAUUUCGUUCGCUCCUGAUAUGUUUCGGUCAUUCAAUUUACACUUGUCUCUAGUUUGCGCAGUUAAGACGAGUGUGCCGCAUAUCGUCAGGGGAAAUGUGAAAUAAACGUGGAUGAUUAAAUAAAAAUUUCGAGAGACAAGAGGAUACAACGGUUUCGCUAAAGUAUCCAAAAAUUUAGCUGGGUACAGAACUAAACAUAAUUUUUUGUUGAACCAUCAAAAUAAUUAUGCAAAAAUUUAAAGUUAAUUGCUAGAAUUCAAACUAUUUUUCGUAGCGUUGCUCAUCAUGCCUUUCAUAAUCAUUUUAGUCCAACAAAGGAUUCAACAAAAAAUUACUUUUAAAUCCGCAUUUGGUAAAAUUUUUUAAUAUUUCAGCAAAAUUUUUCUUUUCGUAGAGAAGAGAUUUGAAUAUUUUUCCGAAUAAAUUAAAUAAGAGAAGAUGAAUAUGGAAUUAUAGCCUUUCGACGUUAUUAAAUUUUUAUACGCUUUCAGAACAGAUUAUUGUACACCUAGAUGCUUUUGUAUAUAAAUUCACCUAGCGUCGUAGAUUGUAUUUUUAAGCGUAGACAUCGUUUUUCUAGCGCGUCCAAUACUCAUACUCGCGGGGAGGAAGCAAAAUAGUUGAACAACCCAAAUCUAAACAUCUCAAAUGCAUAACAUUUUAAAUCCCAACCCUGAGCAUGGGAUUACACACACCAUAAACCUUCGGCGAGAUUAACGCUUUUUCCGGGGCUACUUCGUCCGGCCGCAAUUCGAUUCGACAGUCGAUAAGGAAUAUGUGUUUGCACAGCACACAUCGCCGGUUUGCGAAUGCUUUAUGGUGUUUGCAUUGAUUUCUAUCGAUGACAGAGCCACAGUAAAUAUUAUCGGAGGCAGCUACACCGAGGAGUGAACCGUGAAUUUAGAGGCUUGCGGUUUAUUUUCGCGGUACACGCAGACGUAUGAGCUCGAGGACAGAAUAAUAAACCGCCUCCAUCCCUGUCUGCUCCUGGAGCGACAGGCGGAAUGCACACGCGGCGGUAGAGAUCUACUAUUUAUGUAUAAAAAGAAAUAUAAUCAUACCGCACGCUUCAGCCAUACGGUCUUUACUGCGCCGAGCACUUUCGUACCCUCCGGGCAAUUAACGCUUUAACCGGCAGACUACAGUGUAAACUACGGUGAAAAUUUGUGCGUUUCUUUUUUUUUUAUAGCAAAUUAUGCUGUGCGUUGUCCGCAUACAAACAACAAAAUGUUAUUUCUCGAUUAACUUCCCUUAAUUUCCCUCCGGCGCCUACGCAGCUUGUUACGAAGGAAUAGCUUAAUGUAAUUAAACGUUGAAACAUGGUACGUUAAACAAGAUAACAAAGUGCCUUUUUCGGAUUUUAUUCACUACCAAAGAAUUGAAUCUAAUGUAUUUAAUUUAUAAUUUUAGAAACGCAAUAUCUGCGUUUCAAUUUUAUCCUUGUGUAUUUCUUUUUUUUUUAAGUAAACAUGAGAAAAAUGCGGAGACAUCUCCUCAACGUGAUAUUAUUCGAGGCUAGUCUCUCUUGAGGAAAGAAGUCAUGAGUAUUCAAUUUCUGCUCUAUCCAGAAUCAGCUGGCAUACGGCCACAGCGAGAACAAGCGGGUUCUCUUUUGUGGCCGACGAUAUUCUCUAGAAAGAUAUUUGUCAGCCGGCGCUACCUUAACCCGAACUGCACUUGACUCUGAACCGCCGGGGAAUUGACCUGCGCACGAACACACGCUUCCUUUUCCAGCAUAUUCGCUACCCAAAGCCAAAUGUCACGGCGUAACAUAAUCCACAUAAGACGUAGCUAGCGUAAGACGUAGGCGUAUAUAGCGAAUAUGAAAGAUAUAAAACGCUGAAAGUGUAAAACACGAGAUAUGCAGAAUACAAAGCAUGGACAACAUAGAAAAGUUAAAAAAUAGGAUAUCUAAUACCCAAAGAGCUCUUGUGGAUAAAGAAAAUUCAUGAGACCGGUUGAUCCUAAAAUUUAUGUUUUCAUAAAUCUGUCCAAAAAUCUCUGAAUUUAAUGAUUUUUAAAAUUUUUAUGGAAUUAAAUAUAAAAUUUGUCAGAUAUGAAAACAACAUGCAACUAUUUUCUUGGUAAUUUGAAAUAAGAUAUUUUUAAAUUUUGACAAUUUGACAAAAAUUCAAAUAUCUACGUAAAUGCUUAAGAAUCUUUUAGAAUUAUGAAUCACAUAUAAGCUUGUAUGCAGCAUAUUUUGCUCGGAGAAAUGCAUUCUAUACAUAGAUGCAUAUAAAAUAAUAUUUUUUUCUGCUUCACGAGCGCGCGUCAUUUUUCGCCGGACUACGAUUGCACGGAGCAAUAAUCCGAGAAAAAAAAGCGGAAAGAAUUGCGAGACAAACGGAAAUAAGCACAUCAAAUGUAGGAUUACUGCACCAGUCGCUAAACAAUUAUCAAUAUAAAUGACAAUAUUAUGACAAAAUAAUAAAAUUUUUAAAUAAUAAAUUGCAAAUUGAUAUCUCAGAUAUAAUUUUUGUAGAGAUAUUUUAAUAAAUACCUUUUUACUGAAAAAUAUAAUUAUAUUAAGUUGUUCUUAAUAGUUUAUUGACUCUUGUGCAGUGAUCUUACACCUUUUGUUAAAAGCGUGUCGUAGAUUUUAUCUCGUGUUCCUACAUUGCCCGUAACUGUCCGCAAUUUUCAAGCUGAUGUGACCACAAAAGCGACCAGCCCACCACAAUGGUCGGACAAAGUCCACCACGUUUGUUUUUCUUUGCCUUUUGAUAGAAUUACGGAAAUUGAUCUCAAAGAAUUUAAUUCUUUGAAUUUACAGAUCUAACGAACUUUUAUAUAAAUGUUUACAAAAUAAAAAAAAUCUUUAAAUCCAAAUUUUUGAAUUUGUAAUUUUUUCUUAAUUUAAUGGAUUGUAAUCUAAGAUAUUUAUUAUCGUAUGGAAAAAGACAGUUUUGCUUAAGUAUCUAAAAAAAUUUGCUAAAUACAAAUUUAAAAACAAUUUUAUUUAACCAUUAAAAUAAAUUAUGUAGAACACAUUCUAAUUAACUAAAUUGUUAAAAUGUCAACAUUUUUGCAGCAAUGCUCAUCAGUAUGCUUGAGCGUUCUACAUAAUUAGAUUGAUAAUUCAAUAAAAUUAUUUUCAGAUCUAUAUCUAGCUACACUUUUAGAUACUUGAGCAAAAUUAUUCUCUCAGUGUUAGCGAAUAUAACCUUUAAAUAUAACGUUCGAAUCGAGGAAUGCAUAAUCAAACUAUUUGCAAUUUUUUAACCGAUACUGGAAGAGCUUGUCUCUACUCACUUAAGUUUAUUUAGCAAAAUCACCAGCGUCGGCGAUUGGCUAGUUUGGCUUGUUAAACGAUCAACGUAAUGGAUAAGCGGGAAUCCAGUUUAAUCCUAAAAUGCCGAAACUCACUCGGCUCCGCUUGCGAAAGCUGACUUACUUAAUUGCUGGCUUUUCUCCUUCAGUGGACUCUUUGUACCAUCCUGAUAAUUUCCUUUAAACACCGUUUAUUCCCGUCUCUCGUAGUGAGCACGUUCAAUCGUUUUGUGUAUAGAAAAGUGAUCGCGCCGUCCAUUAUCCUUUCGGUACGAUUAAUCCGAAUAGUCGUGUCUCUUUGUCAGAAUAACGCGAAUCGUACCGUAUUUCAUUGUGGUAUACGGCACUCCACAGCGCGAUAUUUCCGCGCACGUUGGUCGUGACAAAUAAUAGCACUUUGGGGCACUUAACGGGUGGAAAAAUGAAAAAGUCCCUCAAUCGCGUUCGCGCAAGUACACUUAAUAAUUCUAUCGCGCACGACGCGGCUUGAGUUAUCAAUAUCCCCCGAUAUAUAUCUAUAUAUAUACCAAUACAUCAAUUAAUUUGUCGUGCGUACGUAGGUGUGUGUGUGCGCGCGCGUGUAGGUAUAUAUAUAGCUUUAUUAUCGAAGCAAUGGACACAAAUAGAUUUAAAAUGAGUAUCAAAUCAGAUUCUUUGAUCUAUGAGGUCAUUUGAAAAUCAUCUAUGAAAGACCAGUCAAUAAGAGGAUCUUUGGGAACGUCAUUAUUUAAUUGUGUCUAUUAUUUUGAUAACGAAGCUCUUCAUAGGAACAGUUAUUUUUCCUUUUUAUCCGUAUGUUCACGAAAAUUUAAAACAUACUUAUCUCACCCUAUGAUUAAGUAGAUAUAUAGUGUGCUCUACUACGAGCUAAUUACCUUUGGUAAUUGCAUGGAAUGCAAAGUAUAUGUUUUAAAAGGAAUUACAUCGUAGAAAUGCACUCUAAUUUUUUAUUUGAUCCCUUUACGGGCACUCUUCAGUACGGUUCACGAGGAGAGCGCGGUAAAUUCGGCGUACGACGAAGUUGUACGUACUGGUUUUUUCUUCUAAUUUAUUAAACGAGGUUAUUGCCGUGGUCGGUUUCGGAAAAGCUGGGGAGUUAAUAAGCUGACAUUAACGAGUGUGAUCCGUGCGAAGCCCGUAUGUGCUUUGUUCAUUCUACUACACAUUUUUAUAUCUUGCAUUGUAAAAAUAUAUAGUAAAGUACUAUGUAUAACGAUUUUUUCGUCUUUUAAACACUAUUGACUCUUUCAUUAUUAUUUUCAAGUGCAUUCCAUUCAAAUAAUGUAAAACGUUAUCUUUUUCUCAGCUUCACGAUAUGGAAUCUCGUCUCUUGUUGUACAAUCAUUUUACUUUUAAUCGAAUUCAUCGAACAUUGAUUAACUAUUGUGAGCAAAUUAAUUUCUCAUUUCGAUAUGUUCUAAUGAAAAUCUCGGGGAUCUAAAUUUAAACUCCUCUCUGUUUAACUUCUUCCGCUCCUUAUUGUGCCUCGAUUUCUCAGAUAAUUUUAGAAUUCUGUUUCCGUCUCGUCAAUUUUUACGGCGGAUGAAACUAGACAGAAAAAGCUGAUUAAUUCAGUCAAUCGCGACGAGUCGGUCGUUAAAACCGUACCAAGAAAGUCUGCCGAUUUAAAUAGCAGUUAGAUCGAGGGGUUUUCUGACGUAAAGAGAAACCUGCGUGGCGCACGUCGGGCACACGCACGCGAUCACACGUGGGUUUUUCUUGGCGCAGGAUGUCGCGUAUCGAUCACUCCCUAGUCUCCAUGGUGUCUCACAUGACAAUAUGUCGCGUGACAGUGAUCAAGGGUUAACGGAGGAGAGGGCGGAGGAAAACAAAUAUAUUGGGCCAUAAAUUGUGGCUCAUUCCGGUGCCGGCCAUUAUUUACAAUCCUCCAUAUCGAAUUACUUUUCCAAGCAUUAUUUAUGGCGAUCCGAACUUAUACAAGGUUUUUCGAGCUUUGCUUUUGUUCGAGUCUCGGUGCAUCGAACGCGAGACGAGUGAUCGAUGCCAAGUACAUGGCAUUGUUACACGAGAUUGUUACACGAGAAAAAUUCGCGAGGAAACUUCGCAUUCGCGUUCCUCGCGGUAACGACCGAACUAUCGCAGAUAACAAAAGUUGGACGCGGAAUCGGAAAUUUUCGAAAUGUGAUAUCUUUUCCUAUUUGAAUCCUUAGAUUCAGGGAAUCCUCAUAUUCAUCUCAACUUUUCAAUUGUUAAUGCACGAAAAAAAAUGCAUCAUUCCAUGUUCGCGUUUGAGAUUUUCACAACACAAUAAUCCAACUAAACUAAACUAUACGCAUAAAAUGCACAUUUUUGUAUUACAUCAAAAAUUAUUGCAAAACCGUGUUGCAAUAAUAACCGGCAGUUGUUUAUGGUUGGAUUGAUAUUUCAAACUGAUUAUUUACAGUUCAGUGGUAAAAGCUCGCCAUGAUCGUGCCGCGAAUGCAUUCGCGAGCGCCGGCGCGCCCACCGAAAUGAUUAAUGACAAUCACGCACGAUAUAGACGCCGAGACGAUACGCAUCGCCGUGAAUCAACAUUCCGUUAUAAUACAUCGGAAAAUUAAUGCCGCGCCGGAGAAAAAGAAUACCGCGGAAACGUGCAUCAUGGGCAGAAGCAUGCCGCCGUUUACUAUGGAAAUGUAUUCCGCGGUCGUACAGUAGAUCGCCAGUAAUUCUGCAGGAGUCGCGGUGCUUGAUAAGUAAACGAAAUUAUUUUUGCGCUUAAACAUUAAUCAAAGAUGCAUCCGCCUGUGAAAAAAACCGCCGGGCAAUAAUUUCUAUUCCCUUGUAUUUACAUUUAAAAGGGUGCGCGGCGCGUAAUGCAACAGUCGCAAAUUUUAUGUGAACCAUACAUAUACGAUGCUAAGCCACGUUAUAAAGAUGAGAAGAAAGUAAUUCAGGUUGAAACCAAAUUACGUGCACUUGUUUAAUUGAAUCCGCGAGGAAAAAUAGUUAGUAUUUUACUAUUUAAUCUCAAGUCACAGCACAGUUAACGCAAAUGACUCAGUCGUGUACGCAGAAGGUAUCUAAAAAAUAAAGGAUGUAAACAGAAUAUUUUUAAUCGAGAUUUUUUUAAGUUGGGAAUUAUACGAAAUAUUUGAAGUUAUAGGAAACAACGCGUACGUACAAAAAAGGUGAAUAAAAUUUUCACUAACCAGAUCACUAACGAUCGAUAGAAAGUGCGUAACAAUCGCAUACAACUUUUAAGUGAAAGUGUUUUAUAUUUCUCGUGUAAAAUUCAACCGCACUCGAAUGCGGUUACGUCUGUGCCGUUUCCUAUCGACUUUGAUGAUCGAAAAUCCCUAACUAAAUCUGUUUAGCUUGCCAUCGUACUUUUACAGCCUCCGGCUUCGAUUGCAAGAGAGACCGGCCUUUUUUGCGCUUUAAUAUUCGAUACUUCGUGGUUUUGCGUAAAACGAACGCUAUCGCUCGUACUAUCUAUCGCUAUCGAGCGCGGUGUUUCUCAUAAAAAAAGAGAUACGCGUAGCUUUCGGCGUGAUAUCUGAUACCAUACGGCGCGAGAUUGGAUUUAAUGUGUAUUUUUUUUUCGCGUUUCGGCAAAAAAAAAUAUAGGGUGUUCCUCCCCGUUCUUCGACAUUCGAGAGGACGACGACGAAUAGAUUUUUCUCGACAGCUGUUUUUCAUGCCAUCGAAAUUCUACUGUAUCGAUCACCGACGAGGUUGCAAAAUUUCCCCGAGGUCCCUGGAUUUUUUUCCCCAUUUCUUCCUUUUUUUAAUCGCUGCCGCACGCUUUGUGCUACGAAAAUUUGAUAUCGCACAACGGCCGAUGGGCGCGCGUACCCGCCUUUGUCAGUUAACGUACUCGGUUGCCUAUUGAAAUCGUCACUGUUUUUUAAUUAAAACAAUAACGUGCAUCGUUCGCCUUUACACGCGUGAGACUUCCUCAUAAAAUUCCAAUGUACCACGAAGAAACCUUAUCUGUAUUUCUAUGAUUUGACAUAUGUCAAAGAGAGACUUUGAAAAAAAAAAAGGAGAAAGAAAGAGAGGUUGAGAAAGAAGGGUUGUAAGUUGAAAUUUUUUGAAUUAAGAAUGAAGAAAAAAUAUUCUGAGGCAAUUAUAAUGUAGUAGCUGAACUAAGAGAAGAUCUAAGUAUAGCCGCAGGCUAUCUUCUUCAUUUCUUUACGUUACAUGUGCAGAAGGCGAGAAAGACUUCGUACCCUGCCUCAACUAUCUCGGACAAGGUCUUUAAUUAACUCCGCUCUGUCCAGGUCAAUUGCCCUCCGUAAAGAGAAAAGAAACGGCGCGUGCUUUUGUAAGCGCGUAAAGUUCGGCUCUAGCACGACGAUCGGCAAUAUAAAAUUAUUUAACGAGAAUUGCCCUUAUUUCGAUUUACUGAUCGUGAAAAAAGGAUGGGAGAAAGAUGAGAAGAAAAAGAGGGAAAUUCGUUAAAUAUAAAUUGCGUUACAUUAUGCAACUGUAUUGUGUUAUAAUAUUACACAAAAUUGCGUAAUGUUAUAUGAUAUUGUUGUAAUUAACAUCCACGUUUUGACUUCUGUAUUAAUUUCAUAAAAAUUCACGUGACAAUUGGUUUGUUUCGUUAAUAACAUAACCGCGUGAAAAGCCCUCCGCCACAUCUACACGAAUUCAUAAUAAAAUACUGACUUAUUAAACUAUUAAACUUUAUAAAUACUGUUUUAAACGUGAUUUACUCAAGCCAUGUUGCUUUUAAAUUAGUUGCUAGAUGCAACUUGAAAGAUAUUCGAUCGCCAUGAGUUAGAAACGCAAAUGGUUCGCGUGACUUUUCAGUCACCCCAUAGCUCCUGGUACGCCAAAAGAAUUAUAGGCGCUUUAAUAGCGACGACUACAAAGGCCGCCAUCCGUUUUUCUUAUCCGCGGGGAGUUUAGAAGAGAAAGUCUCGUAACGAGUUCCGCGGCGGUGGUCGAUGCGUUUAAUUAACGCGAAACUCGCGUGAAAUAGAUUCAACUUCGCGGCUCGCUUGCAGCCUAUUCUUUGUCGAUAAUUCGAAACUGACAUCGAUAUUUUAUGCCGUUCGAAGUGAAACCUCCCGCGUCCAGUUUUAGUUGGUAUUUCAAAAGAAACGCGUUAGAGAUAUUUGCGGAGAAUCAAAUGAAAUAUAUUCGAAAGAGACUACGACCGGUCUUUAGGUGUAACAUGCGAUUUUUAUAACGUCCUAUAUACAGAUUCGAUCAAUGCGGGUAAAUGCACUCCGAACCAGACAUGAGAUAGAUCGUCCCGCUAUCAUGGCAUACUUAAGUCCAGACUAAAUAAUUCAGAAAUCAUUACUUCCUAUCGCACGCACGUCCGACCCUCACUAUUUCGCCGCGUUGUAUCGCGUGCGACAGAACGGGUGUCUCGACACACCGAUAUAAUCACCGGUUUUUUAUCAUCGUAUCAGCUUAACUUUCAUAUUAAAUUUUUCUAUCGUGAAACAUAACAAAUUUCUCGACCUAAUUUGUCUCAAUUAAAAAAUCCUUCCUACACUUCGGACAAUCCCUCCCCAAAUAAUCAAAAUUUUACUUCCACUUUGAUUCGAUUUUUUUUACGUACUAUUUUGAUACUUUAAAUAUUCAAAGUAAAAGUACCUUUUGUUGACUAUAAUAGGAUCUGUGGAGAAUUAAGAGAUCUUGCCUCUUCAAAAACCUCUUUUAGACCAUUAAAUUGGCAAAUUUUUUUAAUAACUACUAUUUUGAAGCACAAAGUAUUCAAUUUCCGUGACUAUGAUCUCUCGCAAUCCUCAGAAUCUAUAAUGCAUGCUAAAAGGCAGCAUGUAGUAGUAGAAAAAUUUCAACUCGGAUCACGGUGCAUCAUUUCAUCGCGCGUGAAUUAAAUAUAUACGAAUCUUAUAUUCUUUCGUUGAAUAAAUUAUUUAUACAUUCACGAAUUUUUUAUCGCCCUUCCUACUUCGGAGAUUGCAGAAUUUUCGACCACAUCACUUCCGGGUGCCGCUCGAAAUUUCUACAUCGGGAUUUCUCGCUGACGUACAAAUGUCUUCUCGUGAACGAAAAAAUUGCGCGUCGUAAGUUUAAUUGGCGGGAACGAACUAUGCAUGGGGGCAUCGUUGUGCCACGUUGUGUGAAGCGUUAUCGACGUGUGGGUGAGGAUGAGACAUGAUUACCUCCUCAAUUACCACUCAAUGCUGUCCUCUCCACAUAACGUUACGUACACUAUGGGUGAAAUUCACUCGUAUGUACUCUCGGCGACCCGCAGAGUCGAAAUUCCGCCGACGUCGAACUCGGGAUUUAUGCGAUUCUGCGAAGGGAAAGGAUCGACGAUAGAAUUUGUGUCGCGUAAAUUAUUUCUGCGAUGCGUUUCACCAGGGUUUCCUCUUUCGGUAAAAGUAAUUCGGAAUACAGAAUCUCUUCUCUCGCGAGUGAUUUAAAAAUCUACAGAUCUCUAAUACAUAUAAACAUACUCGUAUUUAUACAUAUGCAAAAAUGUUGUAAUUAAAAAAAAAACGCUGACCUAAAAUAAAUAAAAUUGUUGGAAUCUAUCGUCGCACACUGAAUAGAAACUCUUACGUAACCAUGUGGUGGCUAUAAUUAAUUUGUGACCGCAAAGUAUGCACUUUCCUCUUUGCUUAUUCGCAUCCCGAGCGUACGACGAGUGACCUUACGUUCUCUCGCGAUGACUCCGACUCGCGGCAUUCGUCGCCGGAGGAUUGCUUAAGUGCUAUAAUUAGUCGAACGUACGAAGUGCACCAUUAAGGGACGCGGCGGGUAGAAAAGUCCACCAGAAAUGGUCGUCGACCGUAAAACCUCCCACCGCUGGCUGUGGACAGCGAUUUUCGCAAACUGUCGCAUUCUUAAUGGCGCCAUCGCCAACGACCGCCCCGGCUUCGUUUGAAAGCCCGGACGAGACUCAAAUCUAUUCUAAUUCCUCGUUGAUAUUAACAUUUUCUCAAGCGGUUUUUAUUUGAGGCAGCGAACAGCGAAGUAAUAAAGGACGAGCAAAAGCAUCGAAGCAUGAACAACGAACAAUGUUAUUUCGAAUAAUAUUCUUCGACAAUAAACAAGAAGCAUAUCGUGCAAAUAACGUGUUAUUCUCGCAGAUAUUAUUUCAUAAAUAUUAUUUCAAAAUGUGAUAUGUUUGCAUCGACACUCAAAUAGCGAUGCACCACGUGUUUUUGCUCACAUUAUUCGUGUCAAUUAUAUGUACACUUGAUGGAAUCACGGAAAAGAGAUAUGCAAAUCGUUACAAUUAUGCUUACCCUUAAACAAAGUGUUGAGUAAAUUAACGUUCAAAGGAAUAAUUAAAAUUCAACAUCGCGUAAAAUUGCAAAGCAGCUGUCCACGCGCAUCUGACGUUGGAAAAAAACCGAGAGAGUAAUCGUAACACCGUAAACUAAGAAUAAUCAUCGUCGUGACCACAUCUCCGAUAAAAAUUACGCGAUGAGAUUUUCGACACGUGGAGCACGUAAUUUUUGUGUACAAAGACGCGAAAGCAUUUUCGUGAGAGAGAGACAAAGAGAAAAAAGGGAGCAGAGAACGUAACCAACGCGAUACACGCGAUUUGGCGAUUACGAUCUAAAAUGAACUCUAAAUAUCACGGUCAGAAUUUUGAGUGCCCCAAAAAUCUCUCAAACUUGUAAACUUUACUUAUUACACAAGACUUAAAGAUUUAUAAAACUGGAUUAUUGGAUUUUUAAACUUUCUGCGUUCUAGCUUUCAAAACUUUAAAUUUUUAUUAGAUUCGCUCUGAAUUUUUGGACUUUUAGUUAUCUCCUCGAACAUUUUUCAUUAUAUCGUUUAGGAUAUAUUGUUGGAACUUAAAUUAUUGAAUCUUCAGUCUGUGGAAUAAAUUUUUGUAUCUCUGGUCUUUGACCUUUGCGUGCCACGAUCCUCAGACGUUUAGAUUACGUUCUCUAGUCUCAAGAUGCUUGGUCUACCCCUUUCAAACAGUCCGUAACGUCUUGUCGAGCGGAACGGCGUUCUGCUAUAUAACGAGAGGAAUCCUUCCGGUACCUUAAUUUAAAAAAAGACAAGGCAAACCCUUGAUGCCCCACCGGAGGGUCAAAUCCGGCUCCGGUUCAAACCGCGUUUCUCUGGCCGCGAUUCCAUCUCUUUGCUACUUUUGUGCAUCGUAUUCUAACGUAAUUUAUAUACCACGCUCGUCUCGCGCAGCCGGUAACGAGUACGAGUACCGCGCUCGAAAACCAAAGCAAAUAUUUUUCCGAAGGAAAUCUUCGUGAUUCGCGCUCGCUAGAUGGUUUACUCGCUCGUGUGCCUCCCAGGCAAAAGAGGGAAUCGAACACGAUGACUCUCGCAAAGGUGAACGAACACUGUAGAACUCGCUGCAGCGUGUGGGUCUUCUCUCUCUCCCUUUCUCUCUUUUCGUGCGCUCUCUCUCUCUCUCUCUCUCUCUCUCUCUCUCUCUCUCUCUCUCUUUCCCUAACCCCGACCGGAUAUUUUUAACAAGCGGUUCGUGCCGAGACGAAACAAUGCGCAUCCCGCUCUGUGUGCACGCCUGUACACGCGCGAGCGAUAAGGCGCAUCGUUGCGGAGAACACGCUUUCCCACGGGAAGCCCCGGGAGAAAGGAACACAUCCCGGACCAGAGGAUUCCCUUAAAGUCUCAGAACUUCGCAUUUGACAAUCCGCGUUUUCCCGGCCAUCUCGACCUACUUUGCGAGGUGAGAUCCCUUUCAUUUAUUCCCUCUAGUCAUGGAACUCUUGCCCUUUCUUCUUUUUUCAACUCCGAAUUCACCGGGAAUAUGGAAGCGGCGCGCGACGCAGAGGCAGCGACGCCUACGUCGGUAUGCGGAUUCCGCGCGCGGAAAUAAAAGCGACACGACAUUUCGGCGACGACGGCGGCGGGCGGCGCGGCGCGGCGCGGCGCGACGAAAAUCUCGCAUUUGGGAAACCCGACGGUAGCGGCGCACCCCAGAGCCGAUCUAUCGCACCGCUGCGUCGGGAUUCCGAUGCAUCCGGGAUCUGGAUGCAGCUGCGAGAGAGAACGCGGGGGAGAGACAUGGAGAGAAAGAGAUGAGGCGAAUGAGAAAGCAAAAGGGGGCCGCAGACGCGAAUUCACCGGCGGGAUUGGAACGAUAGCGGGCGCGCCGUUACUCGAAAACCGGAACAAUACGUCGCGUAGGCGCCUUCGAGGGGUGGGAGGGAAAGAAAGGUAGCGAGGAGAAAAAGCUACGGAUGGCGUGUGUUACUCGUAAAAUAUGGAAGCCCAUAAAGACCGGGGCCGUGUGCCACGUCGGCGAAAAGACGCCGGCGAGAACUCGUGACUCCGGAAUUUCCUGUGUGUCAUCCGUGCACCUCUCCCUCACCGAUUCGCUCGCGAUUCGCAAAGGAGUCGCUCUCUCCCUCUCUUUUUAAUAAUUCGCCGAGGGAUCUUCCCCAUCUCCGAAAUAGAUAUUUUAUUUUAUUCCAUUCGCGUCUAAGCGCCCGGCCGGUGACCCGAUCGGAUUUAAUUACCGCUUCAAAUUACGAAUUUAUUUGUUAUCCCUGGACAAUCGAUAAUCGCGUUAAACAUGAUACGUGGAGCGAUGCCGUACGUCGUCGCAAAUCGUUCUAAAACGAAUAGCCUCUGGCGGCUGCCAGAGAGCUAUGCUUUGAGCAGCGAACCGGCCCGGCGCGACAAGCACGCGCAGCACUCGAUCGCGCCAAAGUGCGGAAGUGUGCCCGGUCGAUUCGAGAAUCGGAACGCGGUCGAUGGCCAAGUUCCCGCGUGUAAAUCCUUUCGCACUUCGAGACCGGCUCCCGUCUCGUCUCAAUUUCCAAAGAGAAUCGAAACUCAAGCCGCCGAAAUUCCUCGGAUAUCUGGCCAAUUUGCGACGAUCGCCGCGGGGCCAAAGGACACGCCGUGUCCUUUCCGGCACAGAGCCGCGGCCGGCGGUGCACACGGAGCGGUCAGACGCAUUGGCAGUUUAAGAUAGUUAGGCUGCCACGUUGAAAGUAGCGGUAUAUAGUUUGAGAUAGUUAGCGACCACGAUGAAUUUCCGCGCCGAGUCAAUAGCUAUAGAGACGUAUGGAAACGACAGUCCUCGGGGAGGAAAAGUUAGGGCUUUGCUCGGGACAUUUUGACAAUCUGCGAUUUGUUAAUUGUCCGACACAACCACGACGACCCCUCGCACGACGAUAGAAUUUAAACAAAAAUUAAACGAAUAAAUAAACAUCAAUUCUUAAGUCAGCGUUAGUGACCGUCAGCCAGCAAAGUUUCGUGACUUAAAGAAAAUUAAACAAGUCACAAGUCACAACGAUUUUGCGCGAAUGAUCGGAAGAGCAAUUAGAUUGCCAAAUAAUCUUGAUUGACGAUCUACACGCAUCGACUCGGCGCACCCAAUGGCUUACUGAAUCAUCGAUCUAAUGGCACAAGCCACUUUCAACGUAAUCCGUGCGCCAGCAACGGGAACCUGCAUCGUGCAUAAUUGAAUGCGAUACAUCACACGGAGGACGACGUGAUGCGUGGGCGGCGGUGCCGAAACACCACUGCGGAUAUAGUUGGUAAUAAUCUAUCGCCCGCAUAGAUCGGCGUGUCAUGCGAGCUGUUUUCGCGAUUAUCUAGGGACAAGCUCAGUUGCCCGGAAAGCGACAAGAAACCUGCGGCACCACGUGUAAUUGAAUUCGAUACAAUGUGGCCUACUACACCGGCCCGAGUCCGGGUUGCCUUGCUCUCCCGCGCGACAUACACCGCCGCGGAUUAAUUUCGCCCGUUAAUGAGAAUUGAUCGUCCGCGAGUAUCCGCCUGGUUACUGUCCGACUUUUCCGAUAUCGGGGGAGACACGAUCGAACCAAGUGUCACGCGAAAUUCUAUAUAUAGAAAUAGAAAUAAAUCAUUAUCGAUGGUAUAUCGACAUUAUUAAAUAUCGAAUGACAACAAUCACAUAUUUUAUCGCAAUUAGAUACAUAAAUAAUUAAUUCAAUAUUUUAGAAAUUAAUAAAUUGCAUCGUUUUAUCUGGAUAAUAAUUUAAUUUUUUUUAAGCCAUGAGCAGUAAAAUGUAUCUCUUUUUUCGCCUCGUCUCUUCUUUUUAAAGAUCAGCCUUUGAAUGUAUCCGAGCUAAAUAUUCCACAUUUCAGAAUUUUCCGACGGUUCCGUGUGUUUUUAAAUGCUGCUCUGUGCAUAAUUUAUUCAGCUCGCCGACUGCGCGUACGUGCAGUUGCACAGCAAACUACCGGUUCUAUCGGUGCGUCAUGCAAACUGUUUUCGAGGCUAUCUGAAGUCAUGCUGGUCGCGAAUACAGAUUUGCAUCGAGCGUAAUUGGAUCCUAUACACCGUUGCUUGCUAAGGCCAACAGGCUAUCGGUGCUAGUGUCCGCAAACACGACUCAAUCGAGCUAUCACCACGACCUUCGGUGCACUUAGAUCGAUACAUAUUACCAUGUAUCCCGCCUAUCCGAUCUCGAAGACGUAGAUACGAUUAUAUCCGUGAGAGAGACUUAACUGGAUCUUGUCUUAACGGGGAAAGAAGGAAGAAAAAAAAGAGGUAAAAUGAUCAUAUUAAAAAAAAAAAUUUUAAAUGAGGUAUGUAUUUUCGAACUGGCCUCGCGUAACGCUCAUAAAGAACUCUGGUCUCGUGAAAAUCUAUCCAUUUCCAAUCGGGAUCAUUAACAAUUAACGAAGCGCUGAUACAAAUGUAUCUGGGAUAUAAAUGAGCCUGAGGGACUGAAUAAUGAAGGUUCAGAGAAGCAUCCCGUUCAAAGAGAAAUCGAACGCAAAUUACACGAAAAUUGAGCCCUGUGCCCUAUUACCUACAGAUCUCUCUAUUACCUAUAGAUGCGGUGUUCUUCGCGAGCAAGCAGCUCGUCAGGCCAAGUAUUUGUCAAGCAACAACCAUUACGAGAGCGAAGAUUAUCCGUAAAUAUUUUCACGAGCGAGAGUCAGGUCUGUGAGUCAGAGCGUCGCCCGGUUUUCUAUUAGCUGCCGUUUCUCGGUUCAUCGGCUCGCUGAAAUUGGAAAUGGUCGUCGAUGGGUACCAGUCAGUUCUCUUAAUUCUCGGGUCUUCCCUUCCCCGACGGAGGAGGAGCGAAACCGGUUAUUUGCAACAUUCGUUCGACCGUGGCGAAGGUACAUAUUCGCGCGGCGCGUUGAUUUCCGAUGAUUUCUAGGACGAGGCAACGAGGUCCCGAUUACGUGAUUCACAGAAGCCAAACAGCCGAGUGAGGGCAAUGCAAACCCGUUAUUUCUCUCCCUCGUCCUUUUAUUCCCGAUACGUCUUUUUCCUUCGCCGCGAAUUACGAAACUCUCUCCGGGGAAUUCCUUUCGUUUUUUUGCUGACUUUUGACAAAAUUUGAAAUGUUCUCCCCUUCUCUACAGAAAUAUUUCGUUUCCUACGAACGUCAGUAUGCUAAUAGCAAAACUAUAGAGAACUGACGUUGUGUUCCUGCAAUCCUACUAUAUGUUAUCGAUUUAUUAUAACAGAGAGGAAACGUCGGAUGCCGAUUUUCCACGAGCAACUUGUUCGAAUUACUGUCAACCAUUUGUAAUCGUACGAUAUCGAGUUCCGUUUUAAAAAAAAAAAA